rnacentral:rRNA from 1 species
UACAGAGGGUGCGAGCGUUGUCCGGAAUCACUGGGCGUAAAGGGCGCGUAGGCGGCUUGGUAAGGUUGCGGUGAAAGCCCGGGGCUCAACCCCGGGUCGGCCGUGGCAACUGCUGAGCUGGAGCGCUGUAGAGGCAGGUGGAAUUCCGGGUGUAGCGGUGGAAUGCGUAGAGAUCCGGAAGAACACCGGUGGCAAAGGCGGCCUGCUGGGCAGUGGCUGACGCUGAUGCGCGACAGCGUGGGGAGCAAACAGG